GCUUACGGCCACACCACGCUGGGCAUGCCCGAUCUCGUCUGAUCUCGGAAGCCAAUCAGCGUCGGGCCUGGUUAGUACUUGGACGGAAGAN
rnacentral:rRNA from 1 species